rnacentral:rRNA from 1 species
UCCACGCUGUAAACGAUGAGCACUGCUUGUUGGCAAUACACCGUCAGCGACUGAGCGAAAGUAUUAAGUGCUCCACCUGGGGAGUACGUCGGCAACGAUGAAACUCAAAGGAAUUGACGGGGGCCCGCACAAGCGGAGGAACAUGUGGUUUAAUUCGAUGAUACGCGAGGAACCUUACCUGGGCUUAAAUGUAGAGUGCAUUUGCUUGGAAACAGGCAUUUUCUUCGGAACUCUUUACAAGGUGCUGCAUGGUCGUCGUCAGAUCGUGCCGUGAGGUGUCGGGUUAAGUCCCAUAACGAGCGCAACCCCUAUUGUUAGUUACCAGCACGUAAUGGUGGGGACUCUAGCAAGACUCCCGGUGUAAACCGUGAGGAAGGUGGGGAUGACGUCAAAUCAGCACGGCCCUUAUGUCCAGGGCUACACACGUGUUACAAUGGCAAGUACAUAGAGCAGCCACCUGNCGACAGGGCGCUAAUCUCUAAAGCUUGCAUCAGUUCGGAUCGAAGUCUGCAACUCGACUUCGUGUAAGGUGGAUUCGCUAGUAAUCGCGCAUCAGCCAUGGCG